ACGAAGCGCAGACGCUGUGUACGCGUGAGUACUUACCCCUUGGUGGGGUAUAGCCUCGAGAAAUUGAGGAUAAUCCCGCAUAAGACCCUUAAGCCCUGGUUUGAGGGUGAAAGGCUUCGGUCGCUCUGGGAGGAGCUUGCGGCCUAUCAGGUAGUUGGCGGGGUAAUGGCCCACCAAGCCGAAGACGGGUAGCCGAUGUGAGAGCAUGAUCGGUCAGAGGGGGACUGAGACACGGCCCCCACUCCUACGGGAGGCAGCAGCAGGGAAUCUUGCGCAAUGGGCGAAAGCCUGACGCAGCGACACCGCGUGGGGGAAGAAGGCCCCAGGGUUGUAAACCCCUUUUCUGGGGGAAGAGAUAGGACGGUACCUCAGGAAUAAGCAUCGGCUAACUACGUGCCAGCAGCCGGUAAUACGUAGGAUGCGAGCGUUGUCCGGAUUUACUGGGCGUGAAGGGCGAGUAGGCGGCCCGCUAAGUCUCAUGUGAAAUCUCCCGGCUCAACUGGGAGGGGUCAUGAGAAACUGGCAGGCUUGAGGUCAGCAGAGGAAAGCGGAAUUCCCGGAGUAGCGGUGAUAUGCGUAGAUACCGGGAGGAACACCAGAGGCGAAGGCGGCUUUCUGGGCUGCACCUGACGCUGAGGCGCGAAAGCGUGGGGAGCGAACCGGAUUAGAUACCCGGGUAGUCCACGCCCUAAAUGGUGGAUACUAGACAUGGGGGGUAUCGACCCCCUCUGUGUCGUAGUUAACGCGUUAAGUAUCCCGCCUGGGGAGUACGGCCGCAAGGCUAAAACUCAAAGGAAUUGACGGGGGCCCGCACAAGCAGCGGAGCGUGUUGUUCAAUUCGAUGGCAAGCGAAGAACCUUACCAGGGCUUGACAUGAUUCCGACAGUCCCCGAAAGGGGAUCUUCCUUCGGGACGGAUUCACAGAUGUUGCAUGGUCGUCGUCAGCUCGUGUCGUGAGAUGUUGGGUUAAGUCCCGCAACGAGCGCAACCCUUGUCGUUAGUUACCUUGUCUAGCGAGACUGCAUGUAAAAAACAUGAGGAAGGUGGGGAUGACGUCAGAUCAGCACGGCUCUUACGUCCUGGGCUACAAACACGCUACAAUGGCCUGAACAAAGGGUCGCCAAGGCGCAAGCCGGAGCCAAUCCCACAAAUCAGGCCUCAGUUGGAAUUGCAGGCUGAAACUCGCCUGCAUGAGCGUGGAGCUGCUAGUAACCGCAGGUCAGCACACUGCGGUGAAUACGUUCCCGGGCCUUGUACACACCGCCCGUCACGUCAUGGAAGUCGGUAACACUUGAAGUCGCCCGGCUAACCCUAUGGGAAGUAGGCGCCGAG
rnacentral:rRNA from 1 species